rnacentral:rRNA from 1 species
UCCAGACUCCUACGGGAGGCAGCAGUGGGGGAUAUUGCACAAUGGGGGAAGCCCUGAUGCAGCAACGCCGCGUGAGUGAAGAAGUCAUUCGUGAUGUAAAGCUCUAUCAGCAGGGAAGAAAAUGACGGUACCUGAGUAAGAAGCCCCGGCUAACUACGUGCCAGCAGCCGCGGUAAUACGUAGGGGGCAAGCGUUAUCCGGAUUUACUGGGUGUAAAGGGAGCGUAGACGGCCAGACAAGUCUGAAGUGAAAGUCCAGCGCUUAACGUUGGAAGUGCUUUGGAAACUGCCGGGCUGGAGUGCAGGAGGGGCAGGCGGAAUUCCUGGUGUAGCGGUGAAAUGCGUAGAUAUUAGGAGGAACACCAGUGGCGAAGGCGACUAUCUGGCACAUAACUGACGCUGAGGAGCGAAAGCGUGGGUAGCAAACAGGAUUAGAUACCCGCGUA